rnacentral:rRNA from 1 species
UACGGGGGGGGCAAGCGUUGUUCGGAAUUACUGGGCGUAAAGGGCUCGUAGGCGGCCAACUAAGUCAGACGUGAAAUCCCCGGGCUCAACCCGGGAACUGCGUCCGAUACUGGAGGGCUUGAAUCCGGGAGAGGGAUGCGGAAUUCCAGGUGUAGCGGUGAAAUGCGUAGAUAUCUGGAGGAACACCGGUGGCGAAGGCGGCAUCCUGGACCGGCAUUGACGCUGAGGCGCGAAAGCCAGGGGAGCAAACGGG